GGGAAUGUGGCUUAGUGGUAGAGUGCUUGCCUAGCAUGCAUGAAGUCCUGGGUUCCAUCCCUCAGUACCA
rfam:Dipodomys ordii contig_17420, whole genome shotgun sequence.